GGAGAUGUGCCUGAGUGGCCGAAAGGAGCAGUUUGCUAAACUGUCGCACGGGUAACUGUGCCCAGGGUUCGAAUCCCUGCGUCUCCG
rnacentral:tRNA from 1 species